rnacentral:rRNA from 1 species
UUGCUCCUCUGACGUUAGCGGCGGACGGGUGAGUAACACGUGGAUAACCUACCUAUAAGACUGGGAUAACUUCGGGAAACCGGAGCUAAUACCGGAUAAUAUAUUGAACCGCAUGGUUCAAUAGUGAAAGACGGUUUUGCUGUCACUUAUAGAUGGAUCCGCGCCGCAUUAGCUAGUUGGUAAGGUAACGGCUUACCAAGGCAACGAUGCGUAGCCGACCUGAGAGGGUGAUCGGCCACACUGGAACUGAGACACGGUCCAGACUCCUACGGGAGGCAGCAGUAGGGAAUCUUCCGCAAUGGGCGAAAGCCUGACGGAGCAACGCCGCGUGAGUGAUGAAGGUCUUCGGAUCGUAAAACUCUGUUAUUAGGGAAGAACAAAUGUGUAAGUAACUAUGCACGUCUUGACGGUACCUAAUCAGAAAGCCACGGCUAACUACGUGCCAGCAGCCGCGGUAAUACGUAGGUGGCAAGCGUUAUCCGGAAUUAUUGGGCGUAAAGCGCGCGUAGGCGGUUUUUUAAGUCUGAUGUGAAAGCCCACGGCUCAACCGUGGAGGGUCAUUGGAAACUGGAAAACUUGAGUGCAGAAGAGGAAAGUGGAAUUCCAUGUGUAGCGGUGAAAUGCGCAGAGAUAUGGAGGAACACCAGUGGCGAAGGCGACUUUCUGGUCUGUAACUGACGCUGAUGUGCGAAAGCGUGGGGAUCAAACAGGAUUAGAUACCCUGGUAGUCCACGCCGUAAACGAUGAGUGCUAAGUGUUAGGGGGUUUCCGCCCCUUAGUGCUGCAGCUAACGCAUUAAGC